GAGCUGCAGUAUGCAGUCGGUAGUGGUGCUCAGCUCGGUUCCGGUUCGUGAGGCUCUCCCAUUGUUUGAAUUCCGGUCGUCUAUGGCUGGUUGACGACCUUUAAGGAGCUCCUUCUAGCUUUGGAUCUUCGUUCUUAACUUUGCUUUAGAACUACUGAGUUGCCGCGACGGCUUCUCCUCUGUAGUCUUUGGUCUCAUCGGGUUACUUUGACAUCCUCUACUGACGCCGGAGGAUGGAUUUUUCAAGUCACAGAAGAUUGGCCUUUGGUUCUCAAAGGCAACAACCGGUGUUGUGAGUUUGGUCAUACUCGCUUCAGCGUCUCGGUUGGUCAUAGGCAUUUCCCAGUAUGAUGUGGGUUGCUUGAUCUAGUCAGUAGUGUCUUUGGCUGGUUCUGUGCAGGUUAUUUGAGGCUCUCCUAAGUGAUGUGUGGCGACUGAGAUCAAGCCCGACUUUUUGCGUCGAAGGCGAGUGUGCAGUGGGACUCCGAUAGCGCUCCUCAGGUAUGCUGUCAUCGUCCCUUCUCUCCUUUGGUGUCUCGUGCUUAAUGGACAAGGAAGAAUGCAAGCUUGGCAAGAUCACUGAAUACUAUCUACUUCAGGCGACGUCCCGGGAACUCCGGCAUCCGAGGCAACAAGGAAAAAUCCACAUUCCCGAGGUUUAACGUCAAUAGAAAAGAACGGUAUUUGGUAGUCUAGUGAUUAUCGAACGCUCUAGCAGAACGCGCCGGAUAGGUGGUGGUGCGAAACUAGAGUUGUAAAGAUGUUGAUCUAGAUCAUUUUGUUCGAGUCAUGUUUGUAUUCAACUUUGAUGCCCUUCCGGGAUUUAUAAAUAAUAUAUAUAUUUAAAAAAAAAAA
rnacentral:lncRNA from 1 species